CAGGUCGGGGGACAACUUUAAGAAAGUGUGUGGUCUGCCACACAGAAAUCAAUGUCGCGUGCAAAACUUGCAAGGCAUGCAAAGCAAAGCAACCUCAAAAGCUAAGGCUAAAAAAAAAAUUGAAAAAUUUGAUGAAAAGCGGGAGAGCUGGGUCCAUACCCACCAAAAAAAUCGGACCACCUCCCACAUCGUAGAUGAAGCUUCUAUGCUGCUUGAAAAAUUGCAGGCCCUGGGUGUAAGGGCUGUAAUAGUUUUGUCCAAGCCCGGAAGAAAAGAGAAUGCCUGGGUUUCAGAGGUUUUGGCACCCCGUUGUCAACUGACAGACACUUCUAAAAAGUGUCUUGAAAGAAUAAAGACACUCUAUGAACUUGUUAUUCAAGGCUGGACCCCACAAGUUGCUGCAGGACAUUCAUCAUCCCCAGUUGAACCCCAAACUACACGUCAACUGGCUCCACCAACAACACAGGUUGCUGUUGCCCAGCCUCAUCCCCCUGCAGCUCCACCUACACCUCAACUGGCUCCACCAACAACACAGGUUGCUGUUGCCCAGCCUCAUCCCCCUGCAGCUCCACCUACACCCCCGAAGUCUUUGAUUUGAUCAGUAGCCUCCACUGGAGCCUCCCAAGUUUGUCAAGAAAAAGGUAAGCAUAAGUAAGGGAUAAUGUAGAGUGAGGCAUUAUCCUGCCUAUUACAUGGUUACUUAACUAAAUAAAUAAUAAAUAAAUAAUUUGACACCAAAUAUUAAUUUAAAAACGAUAGUAUUGCUACCGAUAAAGAAAAAGGUCUGUUCCGUCUCUAUGGUUGGUAUCCUGCGUCCAUAGCAACGUAAACUGUAGCUGUUUAAUAUAACCCUCGGUCAGUCACUCAACACCACAGUAUCUCCUCCUCCAUGCUUGGCAUCAGUGUGUGUGCCUACCAGAUAGCCAGCUGUUUGCAGCACAUGCAUUUCUGGCAAAAGCCAGGGUCCAACAUGCAUUUAAUCCCCCAAUUACAGGCUGUGGUAGUAGCUUUCUCUUUUACCUCCAAAAUAAGUCAGGCUGUAAUGGGGUGAUGCCCUGCUAUCGCUAGCUAGGUGGAGAAAACUCCUUCAUCCAGCUGCUGUUUUAAUCAGGGCGGGUUGACUGAACUGAACAUUUCCAUUGAUGGUGAAAUGAGACGUGAAAAGUGAAUGGGACUAUUUAUGUUGACGUUUCUGUCCUCAUUCAUCUUGUUUGUGACACACUUGUAAAAACGAUGUUGCAAUGUUACCAAUUAGCGUUGUUGUCCCGAUGGCUGAAGUUACUGCGUAGCUAUCAUAGACUGUAUGAACAAAUGUAGCGAUAGGCACUCACCAGUUAUGCUGCCAUUGCCUGAAUUGCAGGAGUUGCUCGCUCCACUUUUCCCCACUUCUUCCCCACUUCUUUUUUUCAGCAGAUUGAUGGCGACCAUGACGACACCCUGCUAUGCAUGGCAACGGUCUGUUAUACUUUGCAACAGUCUGUUUUAAAGAAAUAGCAGACCAUUGAAUGCCGUCGAAUUCAACUAAGCUGUGUAAUAACAGGUUCUAUAUGAAGAGUACUGGAAAUAAGUUCUAAGCCCCUCACAAUACAUCCUGUUCCUGCUAACAGCAGAGCAUGUUUAUCCUAAAGGGUGUAAUUUCUGUAUCCAGUAAACACUUUGCACUGCCUUCAGUCCCAGAUGAAGAAAGUAUUAAUUGCAAGCCUUCGUGUUAACUCAUAUUCCAAAAUUGUCAGACCCCCUAAUGAAAGACAUUGGGUCCAUAAUUAAUAUUAGAGGGCCAAUAAAGACCAUCUCAAUUGUAAACUGUCUUAAUAA